rnacentral:rRNA from 1 species
UCUGGUUGAUCCUACCAGUGAUAUACGCUCGUCUCAAAGGUUAAGCCAUGCAUGUCUAAGUACAAGCUUCCUAGAAAGUGAAACCGCAUAAGGCUCAGUAUAACAGCUAUAAUUUACAAGAUCCUCAUCCAAACAGUUACUUGGAUAACUGUGGAAAAGCCAGAGCUAAUACAUGCAUUAUGCCGGGACUGUUGGCCUCCGGGUCGGCGGAACUGGUGCACUUAUUAGUUAAACCAAUCGCCUCCGGGCGCUUUGAGUUGAAAUCUGGAUAAGGAUGCCGAUCGUACGGUCGCUUGCGACUGACGACAGAUCUUUCAAAUGUCUGCCCUAUCAACUAUUGAUGGUAGUGUAGAGGACUACCAUGGUUGCGACGGGUAACGGGGAAUCAGGGUUCGAUUCCGGAGAGGGAGCCUGAGAAAUGGCUACCACAUCCAAGGAAGGCAGCAGGCGCGUAAAUUACCCAAUCCCGGCACGGGGAGGUAGUGACGAGAAAUAACAAUAUGGACCUCUCUAACGAUGGUCCAUAAUUGGAAUGAGUUGAGCAUAAAUCCUUUUGCAAGGAUCAAGUGGAGGGCAAGUCUGGUGCCAGCAGCCGCGGUAAUUCCAGCUCCACUAGCGUAUAUUAAAGUUGUUGCGGUUAAAACGUUCGAAGUUGAUACCCCGUCCAGACUCGCGUCCGUCGCGGGCGCCCGGCCUCUCGGUUGGGACCGUCCGUGUACGCGCUCGCGGCUGCGACUCACAAUGGUGUACCUGGGCGUUCUACUCCGUGACGGGUCAGGACUUGUCGCCGCGACCUCGUCGGUCAAGGUCUUGUUCGACCCAGCUUCAUGGUGCCCGGGAACUCUCGUUUACCUUGAACAAAUUAGAGUGCUCAAAGCAGGCUAGUUCAAAGCGUCCGGUCCUCCGGGGCCGGCGUUGGCCGAGAAUAAUUUUGCAUGGAAUAAUGGAACAUGACCUCGGUCUGAGUGGUUUCGUUGGUUUGUAAUAGACCAAGAGGUAAUGAUUAACAGAAGUAGUCGGGGGCAUUGGUAUUACGGCGCGAGAGGUGAAAUUCGUAGACCG